AGAAUCAACGCUGGCGGCGUGCCUCAGACAUGCAAGUCGAACGCGAAAGUCCCCCUUCGGGGGACAAGUAGAGUGGCGCACGGGUGAGUAACACGUAGGUAAUCUACCUUCGGAUGGGGAAUAACAACCGGAAACGGUUGCUAAUACCGCAUAAUGCAGCGGCACCUAAUGGUGACUAGUUGUUAAAGCGGGGGAUCGAAAGACCUCGCGUUUGAAGAGGAGCCUGCGGCGGAUUAGCUAGUUGGUAAGUAUGACUUACAAGGCUACGAUCCGU
rnacentral:rRNA from 1 species